rnacentral:rRNA from 1 species
GAUGAACGCUAGCUACAGGCUUAACACAUGCAAGUCGAGGGGCAGCGGGAUUGAAGCUUGCUUCAAUUGCCGGCGACCGGCGCACGGGUGAGUAGCGCGUAUCCAACCUUCCGUACACUCAGGGAUAGCCUUUCGAAAGAAAGAUUAAUACCUGAUGGUAUCUUAAGCACACAUGUAAUUAAGAUUAAAGAUUUAUCGGUGUACGAUGGGGAUGCGUUCCAUUAGGUAGUAGGCGGGUAACGGCCCACCUAGCCAACGAUGGAUAGGGGUUCUGAGAGGAAGGUCCCCCACAUUGGAACUGAGACACGGUCCAAACUCCUACGGGAGGCAGCAGUGAGGAAUAUUGGUCAAUGGACGAGAGUCUGAACCAGCCAAGUAGCGUGAAGGAUGAAGGUCCUACGGAUUGUAAACUUCUUUUAAUAAGGGAAUAAACCCUCCCACGUGUGGGAGCUUGUAUGUACCUUAUGAAUAAGCAUCGGCUAACUCCGUG